CCUACGGGCGGCAGCAGUGAGGAAUAUUGGUCAAUGGGCGCGAGCCUGAACCAGCCAAGUCGCGUGAAGGAUGACUGCCCUACGGGUUGUAAACUUCUUUUAUAAAGGAAUAAAGUGAGGCACGUGUGCCUUUUUGUAUGUAUUUUAUGAAUAAGGAUCGGCUAACUCAGUGCCAGCAGCCGCGGUAAUACGGAGGAUGCGAGCGUUAUCCGGAUUUAUUGGGGUUAAAGGGAGCGUAGAUGGGUUGUUAAGUCAGUUGUGAAAGUUUUCGGCUCAACCGUAGAAUUGCAUUUGAUACUGGCAGCCUUGAGUACAGUAGAGGUAGGCGGAAUUCGUGGUGUAGCGGUGAAAUGCUUAGAUAUCACGAAGAACUCCGAUUGCGAAGGCAGCCUACUAAACUGCCACUGACAUUGAUGCUCGAAAGUGUGGGUAUCAAACAGGAUUAGAUACCCUUGUAGUC
rnacentral:rRNA from 1 species